rnacentral:lncRNA from 1 species
AAUAACACAAGCCCUCAACAUAUUUUUCAAGGUCUAAAUAGUUCUUUUUAACUGGCCAUCUAUUUGAGGGUGAAAAGCCACACUAAAGUUGAAUUUUGUUUCCAAUGCUAAAGUUUCAAAAUUGAGAUACAAAUCUAGCAUCUCUAUUUGACACUAUAGUCACUAGGACUCUAUGCAAUCUUACAAUGUCCUUGAUGUAUAGCCUCAUCAAUUUCUCAAGUGAAUAGCUAACUUUGGUUAACUUUGAAAGCC